rnacentral:rRNA from 1 species
CUACGGGCCGCACCAGUGGGGAAUAUUGCGCAAUGGGCGAAAGCCUGACGCAGCAACGCCGUGUGAGGGAUGAAGGCUUUCGGGUCGUAAACCUCUGUCAGAAGGGAAGAACGGGUAUUGGUCUAAUAGGCCUUUAUUUUGACGGUACCUUCAGAGGAAGCACCGGCUAACUCCGUGCCAGCAGCCGCGGUAAUACGGAGGGUGCAAGCGUUAUUCGGAAUUACUGGGCGUAAAGCGCACGUAGGCCGCUUUGUAGGUCAGGGGUGAAAUCCCACGGCUCAACCGGGGAACUGCCUUUGAACUGCAGAGCUUGAAUCCUGGAGAGGGUGGCGGAAUUCCUGGUGUAGGAGUGAAAUCCGUAGAUAUCAGGAGGAACACCGGUGGCGAAGGCGGCCACCUGGACAGGUAUUGACGCUGAGGUGCGAAAGUGUGGGGAGCAAACAGGAUUAGAUACCCGCGUAGUC